CACGUUAAAACAACGUUGAGAUUGGUUCACAAAUCGACGUCGUACAUUCAACCAUGAAUUCAACGUCUGUUGGCUGCUGUUGAACCAAUGUUUGUAUAAAACAACGUCAGAGCAACGUAGAUAUUAGGUUGUCGACGUCGCAACCUAGUUUCUACCAAAUUUCAACGUUGAAGCAACGUCGUGUGCCCGAUGGGUAGUCACAUAGUAAAGUAUGACACUAGCCCUCCAGCUAUUCAAAAACAGCAUUGACACUUGAGAGAAGCUCAGAGAGAAGCUCAGAUUGAACCUCCACUCAAUGAGUGUGAGUGAGCUUUUAGAAUACGGGCGUAAGAAUUUGAAACCAACAAAAAUGACCUCACCACUGUUGCUAUGGCAACAAUAACGAUUCAACAUGGCCGAUGUUUUGGCUUUUAACUGGUUACUCCCACUUUUUUGUUUCAACUGAGAAACGUUUAUAGUACAAUAAUUGUGAGCCAAAAAUAUAUUUAUUACGAAAAAAACUUUAUAAAUUUUAAAUUUGGCUGUGCAAAAUUCUUUUAAACUAGAUCAGAUGGCCUACUGAAGGCAUUACAAUAAAAUGUUUACUAAAAUAAAAAGUAAAGUGCGUUAAAAGCCAGAAGAUUGGUUAUUGUCGCCAAAGCAACAGUGGUCACGUCAUUUUUGUGACCGAUAUCGAUUUUCAACUGUUUGAUUGAUAUCGAUUUUCAACUGUCUUUAUAUAUGGUUUACAAUGUUCGAUUUUUAGGGACCAGUCAUUAUUUAUCGAGGACGGUGGGUGGGUAAAUUAAUAAUCUGACUGAACCAAAAACACUUGAGCCCCCUAACGAUCUUCAAAUUUCUAAUGACCCACUCCUAUUUACCUAUGUAAUCUGCUAUAAUUAGCCCCCCCCCCCCUCUCCUUCCUAGAUCAAUAAUUCAGUGUAUACUGUUUGUUUUAUAGUGAUAGUAAUAGCAGAGUCAAAACGUGGAUAAGCAAAUAAUAGUAUUUAUUAUAUAAAGUAUAGUGCUUUAUAAAGAUUUCGAGCAUGAUAAAAAUGAUAAUCUCACAUGUGAAAAUUAUCGCUUCUCAAAUUUUGCUUUUCUGUAAAAAUUAUUUUUUCAAAGACUGUCCAUAAUAAAUAGAAAAAUACAUGGGUGCUUGGAAAUACCAGAUUUAUUUCUCAUGUUGAACAUGAUAUCAUGUUCAACACUCGAAAUAAAUCUGGUAUUUCCGCGCACCCAUGUAUUAUUCUCUAUUUAUAAUAACAAUCAUGACAAAUUAGGUCUCUGUACAUUAGUCCUCAUGAACAUAGCGUGUCGACCAGUGUCCAGCUACACGUCCACUAAGCAAGGAUGUCCUAAACAGGACUCGAAGUAGAGAAAAAAUUUGGCCUGCCAGUCUAGAUUUUUUUGGCAGGUGAAAUAAAUUUUAGCCUGCCAUUUUUGUUAAUUGAACUACCAAAAUGGAGAUUUCUCAUAUGAGUCAUAUUGUAAGAAUCAAUGUUUUCAUGAUAGGCAUUUUUACUAUUUUUAAACUUGGAGUAAACUUGGAUUUAUAUUUCAAAUAUAAACGUAUUUAGUUAACUAAAUGAAAAGAGAUAUUUGAAAAAAUAGAAAAAAUAUGUCUACAGAAUUUCACCUGCCAUUUUUUUUACUUUGGCAGUUCAAAUUUGUUUUAGUUGGCCUGCCAUUUCUAAAAUAUGGCUUGCUUUCGGCCAAUGACAGCCCCUAUUUCGGGCCCUGAUCCUCAAAAAUAUCCUUUUGACCCCCCCCCCC
rnacentral:lncRNA from 1 species